AGCCUCCUGGUGCUUACCACAGGCUGUGUACAUACACUGACUGUAUAGAAAGAGGAGGCAAAGAAACCCUACCCCCUCCCCUUAUCCCUCAGCUCAAGCCCUGGGCCUGGUCUGUAUUGUGAAUGGGGAGACAUGG
rnacentral:snoRNA from 1 species